AUCUAGUUCAGGUUGGGUUUGGAUCGAAUUCUAAUUUUUGUGAUCCAACUCGAAAACUUUAAAAAAAAUAUUUACUUGGAAAAAAGGCCUACGAAGAUGAGUUGAUACUGAAACCACUCAAACCACUCUCAAUCCAACCUUUACAUGAAAACCCUCAACCCAACCUGUACAACCUAACCUGUAUAUCCUUAUGUUUUAGUUCUUAGCAGGAUGCGAGAGAUUACCUUUUGAUUUAUCAGAAGCGGAAGAAUAAUUAGUAGCGGGUUAUCAAACCGAGUAUUCGGGAAGUUGAGGGGUUUUGUUUUGCUGGAGCUGAUCCUCCCAGAAUUUUUCAGAAUUUGUGGCGGUUUAUGGUGUCCGUGACAAACCCUCCUUCCAAAACUGUGUGUUCAUCCAUCAACAGCUUUCAAUUGAGGCGCAGCGAUGGCGACGCACCUUCAAAGUUCCACUAAAAUGGCUCUUCACGCCCCGGUUCUUCUAGAGCUCAGAGCUUCAUUAGAAUGAAGUGAUCGAUCGAGCAGGUGAACUGGUCGAUAGGUUCUUAUAGCACGAGGCAGAUUAUGCUUAAGUGAUGGACAUCCGAGAUAAGCAUUAAAUGAAGUCUAAAAAAAUUGUGUAGGUUCGAGAAUAAUAAAAAUUUUCAAAAUCAUGUCACCAUAAUUCAUAUUACCAAAUUACCCCCAAAAUAAUGUUGAAUAUCCAUAUUAUCUUCUUGCUUCUAAUUCGAGAUUCUGUCUAUUUUAGUC